rnacentral:lncRNA from 1 species
UCAAAUAGUAUAAUACGCUUCACACGUAGGCUUGGCAAAAUCCGGGUCCGGUCCGGGUUUUGGUGUUGCCCGGGACCGGACCGGAUGAGAGAAAUGCAAGCCCGGACCCGGGUUAAAACCCAGUUUUUCCGGGUGCGGUCCGGGCUUGAGCCCGGCACCUUCCGGGUCCGGGUUUUGAUCUGGGCUUUUUAAACCCGCAUGUGAUAACUUCAAUUUUUUUUCUUCAAUUUUUUCUUCAAUAUUUUCUUUCAUUUCUCUAACAAUGCAAAUUUUAAAAAAGAAAAUAAUCAAAUAAACUCAUUCAAUCUCAAACUUCAAAAAAGAAAAUAGUCAAAUACAAAUAUAUAACACACUAACAACGCAAAAUUUGCACAAAUGAUAAAUAAAAAUUAUUUCAAUCUACUUUCUAAUACCUAAAUUCAUCCAAUUUCUAGCUUAAACUCAUUCAAUCUAUAUAUAAAAUAAAUAAAUUAAAUUCAACAACACAAUAAUCACACAAUAAAUUUAAAUAACAUUCAACAUAUCAUAAAUUCAUAAUUAUAUAUUUAUAUAUAAUAUAUUUAUUUUUUUAAAUUUAUUAAAAAACCGGGUCCGGUCCGGGUUUUUUGUGUUGAACCCGAACCUGGGCCCGAAAAUGUCCAGGUUUGAGAAUUUCAAACCCGGGUCCGGUUUUUAUAUGCAUGCAGUCCAAAUUUUGCCCGGACCGGAUUGGCCGGGUCCUGUCCGGGCGGGCUUUUUUGACACCCCUAUUCACACGGUUCCAUGAUCGAAUUUUGCAUUUGCCAUCAAGUCGAGAAAUUUGCAACUCUUCCCACCACUCUGAAACACUUAUGCUUAAUUUACUAAUAACAAAUGAUACUUGCUCUUCUUUAGGAGUGCCCCAAGCUAUAAACCAAUACUCAAUCUUGUCCAACUAAUCAAGAAAUUGUUUUGGACAAGUGUAUGCAAAUAAUUCUAAUAUACGAUAAAUAGAAGAGCAAGGAUGGUAGUUUGCCAUUCAAGUUUCCACACAAUGGCAAAAUUGUAAUUCAGGCUCAACUCUCGGGUUUAGUAUGGUCGGCGGCCGGUGGUUGUGAUUGGGACCGGAGGGUGUCGGAUCUAGAAGAUUUGGUGGUAAGGAAUACGAUGGUGGUCGUGGAUUAGCCAGACUUGCAACAGUUUUUCGUGAAUUCCGGCUCAAAAUUGUGGCGGCUUGCGGUGAUUAGGUGGCUUUUUUUACAGUAUAGAUUUCGGCGAUGAUCGUUCACGAUGAUGGUUGGGUUUUGAUUAUUGAAGGUUGGGGAAUCUUGUAGUGAUUGUGGUCAAUGGCAAAAGUGGUCAGUUUCACGGUGGCGAGUGGGAGGAGAGCUUGCGGGUUUUAGGCGAUUCGUAGCUAUUCAGGCGACAAUUGAGAUGGAAAUGACUAGGGUUUGGUUGUUAGAUGAUGGUGAGUUUGGUGGCGAUGUUGGCUAACGGUGAGGGCGACUGACGCUGGUGGAUUUAGAGGGGAAGGCCUUGGGUUGUGGGGUUUCAUGAGGUGGUUUUAAUGGCUCGAUUUCAAUUGGGUUGGGUCAGGAUUUAGUCAGUUAUGGCUGCUGAGUUUGGUGGUUGUCGUGCUAGUGGUAGUGGUGAUGUGGCUGGGUGUGGCGAAUAAGGUUUCAAUUUUUUUUUUUUUUUUGUGAUGGAUUUGGUGGGAAUGGAUGAGGUAUCUAGGAAAGCUGUGAGAUUCACAAAGAACCUCUCUAAUACCAAUUGAUGGAGCGGGUGUAGCGGAAGCGAAAAUUUUAGAGUUAUACCCAAGAAUUAAAUUUAUUCUAGGACCUGAUCUUGAAAUAAUAAAAGAUAUAUUUGAAUAUAGUUUUAUUAACCUUAUUUAUGUCAGUGAAAAAUACAAGAGCUAAAAUUACUUCUAGAAAAGAUCAAAGAAACUAUUGUCACCCUUAAAAGAGAAACCAAGACAAAAGAAACGAUUAUUGUCAAAUUGCUUACUACUUUCCUAGAGUACUAUAAUAAUAUAUGGUACCUAGAACAACGUAUGAUAAAAGUUGGAAUUAGCAAUAUAAGGGUUAAUCCAACCAUUGAUUUAGAUCAAGUAUACAAUGACUAUGAUCCUAAAUCAUUUGAACCUAAAGCUCUCUCCAGCAAAAAGGCAAUUCGAAUGAAAGUUCUUUGUGAAUAGCUCGAAAGGACAAGUAAAGAAAGAGUAUGAUUUUACCAUUUCAGACAAAGAUAUAUUAUAUUUUCCUUAGCAUAUAUGAAAGUAUGACAGCACACCAAGCCAUCUUAAAAAAGAGAAAGGUGAUAUAUGAAAGUCUUAUGAAAUCUAACCAAGAAACGCACCAUGAGGUAUGUAAGGUGCUCAAGCAAAAUAUGAAUUAUGGCUUUUGUUACAAAAGAUAAAAAAAAGAUAAAAAAAAGAGCCAACAAAGAUAAUAUGUCGCCAAAAAAGAGAAAGGUGAUAUAUGAAAGUCUUAUAAAAUCUAGCCAGAAAACACAUCAUGAGAUAUGUAAGGUGCUCAAGCAAAAUAAGAAUUUUGGCUUUUGCUACAAAAGACCAAAAAAAAAAAAAAAGAGCCAACAAAGAUGAUAUGUCGCUAAAUGAAGACCUCAGAAUCGGCUUGUGAUAGGAAACCACUGAAAAGAUAAAAGAUAUUAACUAAAAGCAUCAAUAAUUCAGGAAAAAAGAAUCUAAGGGACGAGAUAAGCUUUAUCGGAAUCCUUAUUCCUAAAAGCAAUCAUGUGAAGAUUGUUACCUAGAAAAAAAAACGGAUGACAACUAUCCUCAAUAAUAAAAGGAGGGUCACUUUAUCUCAACAGAAUCAACCAUGAAAAUGUAAUAAGUGUCAUGCAAGGAGAUAUAAUCUUAUCGCAUCAAGUUUAUAAAUAAGAGUCAUAUAAAAAAGGAAGGGCAUCCUCUCAUUAGUAUCUAUAUUUACUCUUCUAGAGUCUCAUCGAUAUUAUCAUUUAUAUCUUUAAACUUCCUUUGUAAAAAUUCAAUAAUGAAAUAAAUAAAAUUCUUUUUUAGUUAAAUUAUCAUCUUGAUACAUCUUAUCUUGAUUUUAGAAAAAUAUUCAGAAUCUUACGUGCCAACACUUGUGUUAAAGAAAAAGACUUUAUAUUACUAAGCAUUCUCCCUUAAACGAUUACAAGAAGAUCACUUAAAUAGAUCUAUUAGGCCAUUUUGCAGUAUGUUGCAUUGGGCCAUGUUGAGUCAUCAUUGGGGUGAUUCUGAAAGAUGUGUGGAGCUAUGGUGGUGCUGACUGCGAACUAAAUUGUGGUUGGAGUUAGCUUGCAAUUGUCUAUUCCAGAAUUCUAAGGAAUAAUACACUGAUUAGUAUUUUGAAUUAUCUUCUUAUAUUUUGCACAAACUAUUUUUUAUAAAUAAAACUCUUUUUAUUUUAUUCUUAUAAAUAAAACUCUUUUUAGUGAAAUUAUCAUCUUGAUACAUCUUAUCUUGAUUUUAGAAAAAUAUCAAGAAUCUUAUGUGCCAACAUUGAUUAGUAAAAUUAUCAUUUUAAGGAAUAGUAAACUGAUUAGUAUUCUGAAUUAACUUGUUAUAUUUUGCACAAACCCUUUUUUAUAAAUAAAACUCUUUUUUAGUGAAAUUAUCAUCUUGAUACAUCUUAUCUUGAUUUUAGAAAAAUGUUGGACCUUGAUCGUUUUCUAGAAUUUUAUAAGAUAUGGGGUGAUGAUAAUAACUCAAUUUCAUAAAAAUGAAAAAAAGCGGUCAAUAAAUUUAUAGAUGUAAUUGAUAAUCUAGAUUUUAGUCAAGAAUAUCAAGUUAUUGAUGCAAUAGAAAUUAUUAAAACUCAAUUAAUUGCAAGCAAAUGCUUGUACAAAGAUAUGAGAGAAUAAACAUUGAUGAUAACAAUGAAAUAUUUAACACCUUCGAGGAAGAAAGUAAGAUAGGAUUGAUAGAAUCUAUUCUAACCAAUUUGAAAUAAUUCAAGACUAAUGCAAAAUGAAUAACAGGAUACAAGAACGUCCAUAAUAAAAUUAAAUGAUGGAUAAUAACAAUAAGAACAAUAAGAACAAUAACAAUAACAGUAGUAUGAAAAUUUUAAUUUAGAAUGCUGAAUUUAGAUUAGAAAAUCUAUGUGAAGAUAUUGAUGGUAUGUAACUUGGAUAGGAACGUGUGUGUGUGUAGAGAGAGAGAGAGAGAGAGAGAGAGAGAGAGAGAGAGAGAGAGAGAGAGAGAGAGAGAGAGAAUUUGCUCUAUGCAUCCAGAGAGAAAAGGAAUUAUAAAUGUAGGUGCUAAUAUAUAUUCAGAAUUUAUAAAUGUAGGUGCUAAUAUAUAUUCAAAAUUUAUAAAUCGGAGAAUAUGAUAUAUGAAAGCUUGGUUAAUUUUGUUUCAACAAAAUACAAAGGAAGAUUUGACCUCAUUGAUGAAUCGAAAAAGUUACCCUCAACCUCAAUAAUGAAAGAAGGAAGAGUUAAAAAGUAACAGAACUUUAAAACUUAAAAACAAGGACAGAGAAUUAACCUUUGCGCAGCAUGCUUGCUAUUCAUCUCUCAUUCGAGCAGAUACCGAAAUAUAUUCUUUUUUGCCAUGCUAUGUUAUUACAAUCACAGGUACAAGUUUGACCAAAUGGGUCUAUUUGAAUCAAUCUAGUGGACGCAUUUUAAUGCCCUUUACAAUGACAGUGUACUCUUGUCUCUCUGUGGCAUUUCGUCGAGCAGUUGACUCAUUACAGCAAACACCUUCUCGUUCUAACAAGACACUAUAAUUUGCAGGACUUUAAACAUAAAAAUAUCUUUGUAACGCAUGCAUAUAUACCUUUGACAUAAUCUAAUCUAAUUAACUAUUAUAUCUUCUUAAUUUUAUCGUGCAGCUGAUUUUCAUGAAUUAUUGUUUAUUUUUUACACAUUGUAAAGAUCAAGUUUGAAGAUUGUUUGGAUGUGCCAACUCUGUAGAGUUUAUUGCGUCCUAAAAUAUUUGUUCUGAUGAAAAAUGAGAUAACAUUUAAUUAUUAAUAUACCUUAUAUCCGAUUUUUCAGUUUAUGUUAUUUCUGCGAUUGAAGUAAUGGAAUUGAAGUCUACAAGCAAACAUUAAUGAGGGUUAAUUAUCUCCAGAUAUUUAUUAAUUGUACAAAGAGUGAGCAUUAACUGCAGAGUAAUAUUAGCAUGAACCAAAUUAAGCUAAGUAAUUAUUAGUGCACUUUUUUUUUCCUUUUAAACAUAAUCAUAUGAGUUGAUAGGAAGUUUUGAAGAUUAUGAUGCAUUGAAAUAUAUUAAUUAUCCAAACGUAUGAUGUCAUUCCUUUGGUUUAAAAUAUCAUCAUAAACAGAGAUGCUAUAUCUCCAUUCUUUAAUCAAGCUUAGCUCAUCUAUUUUUUCUUCUAAGCGUGGGAGCACUCCAAUCUUUUGUUUCACUUUUGUUGCCCCUGACUCUGCUCAUCACUCUGCCUGAAGUACUAGAACUUCCUACAGCAGCAGCCAAAAGUUUUAGCUUAGAGCUCAUUCAUGGAGACUCCAUACAGUAGUACAAUGAUCAAUAACUAACAUAAGGAUCUCAAAAGUCUACCUCAGUUUCAGCAUGCACAGUAUCAGUUUGGCCUACUGAAAAUCUUGUACUUACCAUGGGACAGUGCGUAUCCUCGAACCUAAAUUUAAUGUAUUUAAUUAAUUGAGACCGAAUUUAUAAUCUAACUGAACUAAAAAGAAAAUAUCUUUUUAAAUUUUUGAACUAAGUGGAGUCAAGCCCCUUGAGCUAUGUCGACAUGAAACAACUUCUUUAAACAUAUUAAUGUUGUGUUUACUUCCUGGAUUGGGGAAUCGAAAUCCGGAAUCGGAAUUAUUAAUAACGUUUACUUCGUAAAAUUGAGUUAGGAAUCAGAAUCGAAAUCGUGGGGCCUACCACAAUUUGAGAAUGAGGAAUGAGAGACUCAUUCCCAAGGGGAAGGUGGGAAUGAGUCUCCCAUUCUUAAGAUUGACCAUUUUGCUCUCCCCAAAAUUAAAAAUAUCCAUUUUGUCCUCUUUUAUAAUUAAUUAAUAUAUUAUUAUAAUUAAUUAAUUUAUAUAUUAUGAUUAAUUUAUAUAUAAAUACAUUAUUACCUAUAAGUAUUAAAAAUUAUAGUUCUUGAAUAAAUAAUCACAAUAGUUAAUAUAUUAUUAUUGUAAUUAAUUAAUUAAUAUACUAUUAUAAUAAUUAUUAAUAUAAUUGUUAUAAUUAAUUCAUAUAUUAUUAUUAAUUAAUUAAUUAAUAAUAUUAGUAAUUAAAUAAUAUAAUUAUUAAUACUAAUUAAUAUAUUAAUAUAUUAUUAACAAUAAUUAUUAAUAAUUAUAAAUUUUGAAUAAAAAAUCACAAUAAUUAAUAUAUUAUUUUAAUUAAGUAAUUAAUAUUAAUAUUAUUAGUUAAUAUAUUUUUAUAAUAAUUGUUAAUAUAAUUAUUAUAAUUAAUUAAUUAAAAAAUUUUAGAAUUAAUUAAUAUAUUAGUUAAUAAUAAUUAAGACAAUAAUCCAUUAAGUACUUUUUAGUAAUUUGUUACAAUCUAACUCAUUCCGAUUCCGAUUCAAAGACAAAGUAAACAUAUUAAUGGCAAUCUAGCUUAUUCCGAUUUCGAUUCCUACAGUUCAAGUAAACAACUUAUUUUGAUUCACAUUCUUUAUUCCCAUUCCUGCCCAUUUCGAUUCCAACUUAUUCUGAUUCUAGUUUAGUAAACACAUCAUGAGUUUAUUAUAGUUAGCUCUCUCAAUGACAGUGCACUCGUCUUAUGCAACCAAGUUGUCUAGAGAAAGUGCUGUGUUGUGCAAAUUUUAAUGUACUCGCAAGCGCACGAAUCUAUUGUAGUAUAGAUCAAUGGUGACGAGUGUCGAUCCCACGAGGAGGUGAAUUUUAAUUAUGUGUAGAAUUAAUUUUGUAAAUGGGUGAUUGGAUUUGUGGUGGAAAUGAUUUGGAAUAUGCUAAAACUUAAAUUAAAAUGGCGAGAAUAAAUUCUAAAAUUGGAAUUGAAAUGGCGAGAAUAAAUUGAAGAGAAUUCUAUUGAAAUGACGUACUUGGGUAUCUGGAUCCGUAUCAACAUGCAUCAUGGGCUAAAUAAUCCUUAUUAAUGCCAAUUAAAUCAUGAGGGGGGAAUCCACACUUCAUGAACCACACUCUAAUCAAUAUGGUGCUAAGGGCUUAUCGUGCCAAAUAAUAAUAACCUUGUACUAGGAGGCCGGUGAAACCAAGGCGGUACUAGACAAGAUUAUUAUUAUUUGUCGACGAAAAGUCAAAACAUCCACAAAAACUAAAGGGGAAGAGCAAAAAAAAAUAUACCAAAUAAAGCCCAUGACACAUGUUGAGACUUCACCUUCAAUCCAAGCUUGAAAGAAAAUUAGCCACUCAUAAUUGAACUAGGGGUAAAAUGGGAAUUUAUUAAAAUACAAAGAAAAUACAAGAUGGAGAGGGAAUUACAGAAAAUGGAGUCCAAAAAUGGAUUCAGAGCUAUCAAAUUAGGGGGGGAGGUCCCCUUUUUAUAGAUACAUCGAGUAAAUCAUGGCCAUCGGAUUAAAAACAGUUUGGACGCUCAGGAUUGCGCUACGUCAUCAGUCAACAGUACGCGUGAACAGUACGCAUGAACAAUCAACACUAUGCAGCUUGAACAGUGACACGGUUUGCAAACGGUUUGUACAGUAACGCGGUUUGCACAGUAACGCGGUUUGGUUGAAAAUAAUCCCAUGUGUUGCAUGUACCGUACGCGCGUUUUUUUCGUCCACUGAUAUGCUGCCACGUCACCAUCAACAGUACAUAAGAAUUUUAGCCCAACAGGAUCGUGACACCUCAUCAGUCAAUGCCACGUCAUCGGUCAAUGCCAUGUCAUCGAUCCGUCUAUGUGAACAGUGCCGUGAACAGUAACAAAGACAAUACCCGUACAUGUGAAUAGUACCAUACAUGUGAACAGUGCCAUUUUUCCUUUUAUGCUCAUCCUAAGGUUUUCGACCUUCCUGAGUUCAAAAGUGAUGUCCGUUUUGCCGUCUGAUCUCUCGUUUAUUGUGAAAUGACCAUGAUGCUCCUAAAAUACAUAAAAUACUUAAUUAAAAUCAAACACACAUAAUUAAAUUGCAAGAAGCUUAAAUACAUAAAAGUAAGGGUUGUUAGUAAAACUUCAAAUGUAAAAUAAUGAUUUUCUCCUUUAUAAAUAUACAUUUUCUAACACUCAACACACCCCCCAACCAGCUUAUUGCUAGUCCCUAGCAAAUAAAGCGAAAACGAAAUUCAAAUCCAAAAUGAUUUUUUUUUUUUUAUAGAAACACUCGUGUUUAUUCAAUCAGAUUAAUGAUAGCAAUCAAAUAAAAGUAUAAGCAUUAUCUCUAGUCUAAAGAAACAUCACACCCACAUCAACCAUCCACAUGAAUCAGCCCAGUAGACUGUCAUAGCUACUUUCAAGAAUGACAUGUCAAACCCCAAAAUCUCACUGGAAGUAGUGACACUCUCACAAAGAAAUUAAACCCAAUAAAAAUAGUCACUCCAAUGAAUGGUACUUGAGAGAGAAAAUAAUAAAGAAGUGAUAUCACAUGCUCUCACCAAGAUGAAAGAAAUAUGCCCUCAGCUUAGAAAUAAUACGAUCUCAAGUCAAAUAAAAAUGUUAGUCAACCCACUUUAUUUAUCUUUUUUUUUUCUUUUUUUUUUAUUAUGCAUCACUACAUAUUUUUAGCCCAUAUAACUAGCUUCUACUUCAAACUAUAGUUCCCUAAAAUCAAGAAGGACUUUUAUUAGGACGUAACGUAGGCUAGGGACAUGGCUAACAAAGAAGGGAAAUAAGGAAAACAAAGUGUAUGUUUGAGAAAAAUGCAGAAUUUUUUUUUUUUUUUUGGAAGUUGCAAGGUGGAUUUCACCUAUUAUUGUUAUUUUUAUUCUUUUGAAACAACAACUUUUGUUUUGUUGUUGUUUUUUUUUUUGACAUAACUUUACUGAACAAAAUAAUUAUUUACAUUUUCUCAAACAUAAAUAGGUGAUGAAACUUAUAAGACAUCGGGUAAUACUCCAAAUCGGAGUGGGUCAAGAUGAUAAGUUGACAAAGAAAAGGUUUUUUUUUUUUUUUUUUAAAGGCUCAAAAGGGGUAACUAUGGAUAUUUAAUAAAAGGGAUGGUUAGAAAGGCUCAAAUGGAUCAAAGAUGGCCUUUCCAUCGUCUUUUAGGGCUCUAAAUAAUCAUCCAUAUCUACUAGUUAGACGGGCCUCCCAAUGUAGCAACACGCAUUUUUUUUUCUUUUUUUUUUAAUAUUACCAUUUUUUUUAAGGGUUAACUCAAAAGAAAUCUAGAGAUCGUGUAUACAAUAAUAAACUGCUAAGCUGUAUAAAGAAUGGUUAAAAGGGUUACUCUCCAAGAAAAUGAUAGGCUCAACAACUCACUUGGCACUUAUUUAUGACAUGUUCAUUCCUUCAAGCAACUCAUAUUUGUCUCCGACAUCAACAUGUAAAGUAGCAAACAUAGCGUAACAUCACUUAAGACCAAAGAUAAUACAAAUACUAAAAUUUGAAAUUAAUCAUGUCAUCCAAUGUUAAAACAAAUCACACAAAUUUUUUUUUUUUAAACAACAUUCUACCCCCCAACCUAUUCUAAACAUGAAAGGAAAAUAUACAUGCAGAAAUGUGAAAACGAUGCAUAAAAACUAAUUAGAAAAGUUACACUUAAAAUGAUAGAAAACGAAAAUGGGUUUUUUUUUUUUAACUUAGAAGAUGCGUUUCUAGAGGCACUACACUCCAUAUUCAGCCAUCUUUGACUCAAAAAUUUGAAAAUAUAUAUUUAUAAGGAGAAAUUAAAAAGAAGAAGAAAAAUGAACAUUAAAACAUAAUAAAGAAAAAAAAAUGUCUAAAUUUUUUUUUUAGUUUUUUAGUUUUUUUUUAAUUAAUUUUUUUUUAACGAUGAAGAUGCGUUUCUAGAGUCACUACACUCCAUAUUCAGCCAUCUUCAACACAAAAAGUUAGCAACAGUUAGUUUCUACAACAAAGCCAUCUUCAACACAAAAAGUUAGCAACAGUUAGUUUCUACAACAAAAAAAAUUAGUAAAAACUUAACCAAAAUUCCACAAUUGUCGACUAUUCCCUCCCCCCAACCAGAACGAAACAUUGUCCUCAAUGUUUGAAAGGAAAGAAGUAGAGUUUAGAAGACAUCACCUGGGUGGUGCAACACAGAAGAAAAUAUUUACAAGCGGAGAGUUAAAUCUAAUUUGUACUUCUUACUGCGGCUACUGUUACCAUCAUUAUUUGGGCGCUCCAACACAAAGGUCCAGGGGUCUGGAUCUGGUUUAUAAGCUUGUAACAGAUCAAGUAGCUCAUUAGCAGUGUGAGCACAAAUAAAAAGUUUUUUUACAUUAGAAGGAAUGAAAAAGUUUUUUAUUGCAUGGUUAAGAAAUGCGAUAAAGCCAUCAUAACAGUUAUUGACAUUUAACAAACCGAUGGGUUUCUGGUGGAUGUGCAGAUGGGCCCAAGAUGCUAGUGUGAUAAGUGCCUCUAGUGUUGCAAGAUCUCCUGGAAGGAAAAUAAAAGCAUCAGCAUGAUUAAGCAUUUCAGUUAUUCUUUCUUGCAUACCUGAGACGACUAACUCUUCUCCAGUUGAUGAGUCAGACGAACUGCCCAAUGGUUUUAGGACUCUUGGGAUGAUGCCUAACACUUGACUUCCUCUGAUAAAAGCUGCUUCUGAGAUCAUUUUUGAUAACCCUUGGUUACCUCCUCCAUACACCAAGUGUAAUUUUCUCGCUGCUCUGCUUCUACCAAGAUCUAUGACUGCCUCAACAAACUUUUUAUGUUUGCCAUAGGUAAAUCCAGAAAGCACACAAAUGUUCUUGAAUUGUCUAUUGGGAGUAGCUGCCAUUGGAAUACUUCUCAAAAAUAAUUUGGGAGCGCUUGACAAAAAAGAAAUCACAUUUAAGAAUCUUGGUGACAGUGGAUCACAACUGUGAAUGAGGUAACAUGUCAGUAUCAAAUAACGCGUAAAGUACAUGGCUCGCGAGUCAAAAAGGAAACAGUAAAAAGGAAAAAGCAAACAGUAAUAAAAUUAUUAAAGACAAUAAUGCAAACAAUAAAACAACAGUGAAAUGAAAUAAAAUAACAGUAAAGUAAAAAGGAUAUGUACAAGUAGUUGCGACUGUGGCUCACAUCUUCCUCUAGUUUUACGUCCAGAAACGGCUUGAACACCCUCUAUGGGUCGAGGAUAGGCUUCCCAUCCAGUUUUCUUAUAAACUGGCAAACAGGGUUGUAUAUAGUCAGAUUCCCGAGACUAUAUCGUGCAUGCUCUUUCUGGAAUAAUGACCACAACUGGAGAAUCGCUCCUUGCACAUAUCCACUGGGAUGCGUUUCAAGAGACAAAAGAAUAUCAUCCAAUGACUCCUUAUUCAAGCCAUCCCUAAUGAAUUGAAUCUUAUCUUCCCUGUUAUCAGACACAAUUCCUAAAGAACAUGGGUUUUUAUCGCAUCUCAUUCUGGCACACUUAUGACAAGCAACAGAAAUUCUCUGAGCUCGUCGUUUUCGUGCAUAAUUUCCUUUACCACAACCAGGCAUGUAUGUAAUAAAUUUUGGAGGUAACUCACCUGUCGAUCGUACUUUCGCCUCGAUUAACCAACAGAUGUCAGCAGGUAUGUUAUUCCUUAUGAACAAUCGCAUGCGUUCGGACCGAGCUUUAUAGAUCGUAAGAAGGGCAUUCUGAGGAAGUGAAGGGAAUCGCUUGUGAAGCUUCGCUAGAAUCUCGUUUCUGUCCAUACUUUCACCUCAGAAUAUCAGUUAUUAUGGGAAACUGAAGUAACCGACUUGAUUGUCACGGAGUACCGUUAUCCGCCACUUCACCGGGGUAACAAACUAAAGCACACAAACAGAAAAAUAAAUCAAAACACACAAAGAAAAUUAAAAUCGUCCUCUUAUUGAAUUUACCUCAAGCUCCAACUGGAUGUCGUAAACACUUCUCUCAAUGUUUCUGAGUUGGCGUUCUAAACCCUCAACAUAGGCUACUAACUCUGGUGAUUGUAGAGCCCAAAUACGAUGUGUUUUACAAAAUUGAAUUUGCCUUUUGAGAUGAGUUUUGACACGUUGAAGUGGUUUAAGAAUGUUCAGGAGGAACGGUCUAAGUAAGGUACUCAUGAUUAAAAAUGAUAAGAGAAAACUUAAUAGUUAAACAAACACACUUAUACAAAAAUAAUUUCAAUUAGCAAAAGAAUAAUAUAAAGAAAGAAAACAAAAUCAAAUCAACGAAAAGAAAAAAAAAUCAAUUCAAAUCUGGUGGGUCACUCAAAUUUAUUUCGGUGUCUUCUCCAUGUGGUUGGUAUUCUAGAUAUGGCUUUAAUCUUUGACCAUUAACUUUAAAUGUAACACCGUUCUUUGGGUCCUUAAUUUCAAUUGCCCCAUGUGGAAAAUCAAUAUGAACAAUAAAGGGACCAGACCAACGAGAGCGUAACUUACCUGUGAAUAAGUGCAAGCGAGAAUUGAAUAAAAGCACUUUAUGUCCUGGAGUGAACGAUUUUCUCAUAAUUUGCUUGUCAUGGAAGACUUUCAUUCGUUGCUUGUAAAUCUUGGUAUUUUCGUAUGCAUCAUUAUGAAUUUCUUCAAGUUCUGCCAGUUGUAAUCUUCUUUCUGAGCUGGAUUGCUGCAUGUCAAAGUUGAAUUUCUUGAUGGCCCAAUACGCACGAUGCUCGAGUUUCACAGGUAGGUGGCAAGCUUUUCCAUACACUAGCCUGUAGGGUGACAUCCCAAUCGGGGUCUUGAAAGCCGUUCUGUAUGCCCAUAACGCAUCAUCAAGUCUUAAUGACCAAUCUUUCCUGUCUGGCCUCACCGUUUUUUCUAAUAUGUGCUUUAUUUCUCGAUUGGAUAUCUCAACUUGGCCACUGGUUUGCGGAUGAUACGGAGUCGCCACUUUGUGUGUGAUUGAAUACUUUGUCAAAAGAGCUUUGAAUGCUUUGUUACAAAAGUGGGCACCACCAUCACUGAUUAUCGCUCUAGGGAAUCCAAAGCGCGAAACAAUGUUGCUUUUCAAAAAUCCUAUCACCACCUUGUGAUCAUUGGUUCUACAUGGAAUUGCUUCUACCCAUUUCGAUACGUAGUCAACAGCAACCAAUAUGUAUUGAUGACCAAAAGACGGGGGAAAGGGUCCCAUGAAGUCGAUACCCCAUACGUCAAAAAUCUCAACCACUAAGAUUGGAUUUAGUGGCAUCAUGUUCUUCGUGUAAUGCUCCCCAUUUGUUGACACCUAUCACAUGAAGAACAAAAAGUGUAAGCGUCUCGAAAUAUAGAUGGCCAAUAGAAACCACAUUGUAAAACUUUAGUCGCUGUUUUCUUAGCACUGAAAUGGCCUCCACAAGCUUGUUCAUGGCAGAAUGAAAGGAUAUUCUGAAUUUCAUUUUCUGGGACACAUCGUCUAACAAUUUGAUCUGCACAAUACUUGAACAAAUACGGGUCAUCCCAAAAGAAAUUCUUUAUUUCUGCAAAGAAUUUAGCCUUGUCUUGCUUGGUCUAAUGCUCUGGAAGUUGACCUGUAACAAGAUAAUUAACGAUAUCAGCAUACCAAGGUAAUACUUCCACAUUCAUUAAUAGUUCAUCUGGAAAUGACUCAUUCAACGGUAAUGAUUCUGUAAUUGUGUCAAAAUGGAGACGAGAGAGGUGGUCCGCCACAACAUUUUUUGUGCCUUUCUUAUCUUUGAAUUCCAAGUCAAACUCCUGCAAAAGUAACACCCAACGAAUUAGUCUAGCUUUUGCAUCUUUCUUUGUGAGAAGAUAUUUAAGAGCAGCAUGAUCUGUGAAUAUAAUUAUUUUACAACCAAUGAGAAAAGAUCGAAAUUUUUCCAAUGCAAACACUACUGCUAGCAUUUCUUUUUCAGUAGUUGAAUAGUUCAACUGUGCAUCAUUCAAUGUCAUGCUAGCAUAGUAAAUAACAUGAGGAAUUCGAUCAACUCUUUGUCCUAAUACUGCUCCUACUGUAUAAUCAGAUGCAUCACACAUGAGCUCAAAUGGUAAGCUCCAGUUCGGGGGCUGAAUGAUGGGUGAUGAUGUCAACAAUUGCUUUAAUUUUUCAAAAGCCGCAAGACAUGAAUCAUUAAAGACAAAAGGUACAUCCUUAGCAAGUAAAUUGCAUAAAGGUCUAGAAACUUUGCUAAAAUCUUUAAUGAAACGUCUAUAGAAACCAACAUGUCCAAGGAAAGAUCUUACUUCUCUAACUGUUUUGGGUGGAGGAAGAUUAGAAAUGAGAUCCACCUUGGCUUUGUCAACCUCAAUACCUUUGCUCGAAAUGAUGUGACCGAGAACAAUACCUUGUUUUACCAUAAAAUGGCAUUUCUCCCAAUUUAAGACCAAGUUCUUCUCGAUACAUCUCUGCAGAACUAGUGUUAGAUGAUGUAAACAUUGAUCAAAUGAAUCACCAAAGACAGAAAAGUCAUCCAUAAAGACUUCAAGGAAUCGUUCAACCAUAUCAGAAAAAAUGCUCAACAUGCAUCGUUGAAAUGUAGCAGGUGCAUUACAUAAUCCAAAUGGCAUUCUCCUAUAUGCAAAUGUGCCAAAAGGGCAAGUGAAAGUGGUUUUCUCCUGAUCUUUUGGUGCUAUGGGGAUCUGAUUGUAUCAUGAGUAGCCAUCUAGAAAGCAAUAAAAUUUGUGGCCUGCUAAUCUAUCAAGCAUUUGAUCAAUAAAUGGUAAAGGAAAAUGGUCUUUACGUGUGACAGAAUUCAACUUUCUAUAAUCAAUGCAUACACACCAUCCUGUAGUCACUCUAGUGGGUAUCAAUUCAUUAUCAGCAUUCGUAACUACUGUAACUCCUGACUUUUUGGGGACAACUUGUACCGGACUGACCCAUGAACUAUCAGAAAUUGGGUAAAUGAUACAUGCGUCUAAUAGCUUAAGGACUUCUGUUCUAACAACUUCUUUCAUAUUAGGAUUUAACCGAUGUUGCAUUUCUCUAUUAGAUUUAGCAUUUUCAUCAAGGUGAAUGUAAUGCAUGCAGUCUACUGGGUUUAUACCUUUUAUGUCCGCUAUGGUCCAUCCUAAUGCUUCUUUGUGCUCUUUUAAAACAUCCAACAACUUACCUUUUUGUUCGUCAUUUAGGGAUGAAGAGAUGAUUACUGGUAGAGUACUUUCUUCUCCCAAAAGUGCAUAUUCCAAUGUGUUGGGCAAUGGUUUGAGCUCGAGUUUUGGUGGUGAUUCUGAUGAUGGGAUGAGUUUGUUCUCUGAUGGUGCUAGUUGUUCAACUCUUGACUUCCAUUUAUUAGUGUCCAUGGAUGGUACUGAGUCAAGCAGGGUGUUGACUUCAUCGACCGAUCUGUCAAUAUCAAAAUCCAAACCAAAGUGAGUUAAACAUGUUUGUAAAGGAUCAUCACUAAGGUUUGAAAGAAAAGUAUUAUCAACCAUUGUUUCUAUUAAAUCCACAUCAACAAUUCCAUCAUCUGCACUGUGAGGUUGUUUGGCAAUGUUGAAAAUGUUUAGCUCCAUAGUCAUGUUGCCGAAGGACAACUGCAUGUUUCCAGUCCUGCAUUGAAUGUGAGCAUCCGCAGUUGCCAAGAAAGGUCGGCCUAGAAUAAUGGGGAUGUGCUUUCUUGAAUCCUGUAUUGGUUGAGUGUCAAUUACAAUGAAAUCAACAGGAAAAUAAAACUUGUCUACCUGAAUAAGCACGUCCUCCACAAUACCACGAGGUAUUUUCGUGGACCGAUCUGCAAGCUGUAACACCAUUAGAGUUGGGUGUAAUUCUCCAAGUCCAAGUUUCAAAAAUACUGAGUAAGGCAACAUAUUUACACUAGCUCCUAAAUCCAACAAAGCAUUCUCAAUUGUGUGAUUCCCUAUGCUACAUGAGAUAGUGGGGGAACCUGGAUAUUUGCAUUUUAGAGGAAUUUUAUGUUGGAGGAUAGAACUAACGUUUUCUGUUAAAAAUGCCUUCUUUUGAACAUGAAUGUUUCUUUUUUUAGUACAAAGAUCUUUAAGAAACUUGGCAUAAGAUGGAACUUGCUUUAUAGCAUCAAGUAAAGGGAUGUUAACACUUACCUGUUUGAAGAUUUCGAGAAUCUCACCUGUGGAUUUUCCCCUUUUUCCUUUAGCUAACCUCUGAGGAAAUCUUUAGGAACAUAUUCUCGCGGGUUGGUUUCUUCUUUCUCCUCCGAUGGUGAGUCCUCAACAUUCACAGGUACAAUUUGAUUUUCUUUUGUCACCGGCAUCUCCACUUUGUUGUCGACUUCUUUUCCUUUUCUCAAAGUCAUGACUGCUUUGACCUCUCCAUGAUGCUGUGGUGAACUGGUACUUGCUUCAUGCACUCCUUUAGGAUUAGGCACUGGUUGACUUGGAAACUUGCCUUUCUCAACAGUCAUUGCCAAGGUCUGAACUGAAGAAGCAAGUUGUCCCACAAUCUUCUCAAGGCUUGAAAUUGAUUGAGCUUGUGAGUUGAAGCCUGAUCUCAACUCAUUUCGUAGUCCAUCAAUGGUGCGGUUCUGUUGCUCAAUCGUGGAGUGAGUAACAUUCUUGAAAUUCUGGAAUGAAUCCUCCCAUGGUCUGGGUUGAGAGUAGUUCUGGUUCUGAUUGUAUGAUCUAAAUGGUGGCUGAGAAGCUUGAGGAUUUUGUGGAAUUGGUGGAGCUGGAGCUGCUGGUCCGUUCUGUUGGAAUCCUUGAGACCAUGAAAAAUUGGGGUGGUCUCUCCAUCCAGGGUUAUAUGUGUUGGAGUAUGGGUUGUAAUUCGAUGGUUUCCUCAUUACACCUAUGGCAUUGGCUUGAUCUGAGUAUGAGUCAUGGUCAUGUGGUUCUGUUGAUUUAGCAGUCGAUAACGAUGCUAUUUGUCGAGCAAGACCUUCAACCAUCUCCUUGACUUCUUUGAUUCCCGAACUUGACUCGCCAAUGUGAACCUCAUUCACUCCCUUAAUUCUUCUAGUAUUCCUGAGUGAUCGACUCCGUUGUUGGGAAUUAUCUGCUUGUCGCUGGAAGAAGUCCCAAAUCUCUGAUGCACUUUUUGUCAUUAGCUCUCCUCCACUUGUUGCCAUUAGCCAUUCUUGCACAUUCGGCAAUAGUCCCUCCAAAAAGUAUUGGCAUUGGUGCCAUUUCUCGUACCCAUGAUGUGGACACUUCAAGAGUAGCCCAUUGAAUCGCUCCCAUGUUUCGAAAAACUGCUCGUCUUCUCUCUGGGUAAACUCUGAAAUUUCCCUGCGAAUAGCAUUGGUUUUAUGCACUGGGAAAUAUUUAUUCAAAAAUUUUGUUACCAUUUGUUCCCAUGAUGAAAUGCUAUUGGCUGGCAAUGUAUUUAACCAUGAACGAGCUCUAUCCUUUAAAGAAAAUGGGAAUAAUCUGAGUUAACAUCAUCGUCUGAAAAAUUUUCAUAUUUAAAAGUUUGACAAAUGGCAUGAAAAUCAUUCAGAUGAUUAUAUGGGUCUUCAUUUUCUAGGCCAUAAAAUGUGGGGAGACAAUUUAGCACACUAGGUUUUAAUUCAAAACUCCUAGCAGCUACAUUUGGGUAUCUUAUACAUGAUGUGCUCAAAUUAGCUAAGGGACUGAAAUAGUCCUUAAAUGGCCUCUCCUGUGGUUGCAAAUCCAUUUUAUUUUUAACUUGCUUGUGUGUGCGAAGUGUUUUUUCUAAUUCAAGGUCUAUAGGUUCAAGAUUAGGUAAUAAUGACCUUCGACCAUGCAUGCAAAAUAAAUAAAAUAAAAAUAAGGAUGGGAAUAAAACAAAUAAAAAUAAAGAAGAGGGAGAAAUUACAAUACUAACCUUAUCGCGCUAUUACAACCUUACUAUAAAAAUACACAAAAACAAAUACGUGAAAUAAAUUAACUAAAAAUAAAUUUAUAAGAUAAACAAAAAAAAAUUACAAAGAAAAAUAAAUUGAAAAUUAAAUUACAGAAUUUUUAAAAAAGAGAAAAAGAAAAGAAAUACUAACCUUUAAAUGUAGAUUCACUUUUUUUUUCUUUUUUCUUUUUUUUUUAAAAAAAAUACAAGAAAACAAUUUAAAUGGAAUUAUUCACAAAAAUUAAUUCCAUGAGUUAAAAUUACUUACCUCCCCGGCAACGGUGCCAAAAACUUGUUGUGCAAAUUUUAAUGUACUCGUAAGCGCACGAAUCUAUUGUAGUAUAGAUCAAUGGUGACGAGUGUCGAUCCCACGAGGAGGUGAAUUUUAAUUGUGUGUAAACUUAAUUUUGUAAAUGGGUGAUUGGAUUUGUGGUGGAAAUGAUUUGGAAUAUGCUAAAACUUAAAUUAAAAUGGCGAGAAUAAAUUCUAAAAUUGGAAUUGAAAUGGCGAGAAUAAAUUGAAAAUAAUUCUAUUGAAAUGACGUACUUGGGUAUCUGGAUCCGUAUCAACAUGCAUCAUGGGCUAAAUAAUCCUUAUUAAUGCCAAUUAAAUCAUGAGGGGGGAAUCCACACCUCAUGAACCACACUCUAAUCAAUAUGGUGCUAAGGGCUUAUCGUGCCAAAUAAUAAUAACUUUGUACUAGGGGGCCGGUGAAACCAAGGCGGUACUAGACACGAUUAUUAUUAUUUGUCGACGAGAAGUCAAAACAUCCACAAAAACUAAAGGGGAAGAGAAAAUAAAUUUACCAAAUAUAGCCCAUGACACAUGUUGAGACUUCACCUUCAACCCAAGCUUGAAAGAAAAUUAGCCACUCAUAAUUGAACUAGGGGCAAAAUGGGAAUUUAUUAAAAUACAAAGAAAAUACAAGAUGGAGAGGGAAUUACAGAAAAUGGAGUCCAAAAAUGGAUUUAGAGCUAUCAAAUUAGGGGGGGAGGUCCCCUUUUUAUAGAUACAUCGAGUAAAUCAUGGCCAUCGGAUUAAAAACAGUUUGGACGCUCAGGAUUGCGCCACGUCAUCAGUCAACAGUACGCGUGAACAGUACGCGUGAACAGUACGUGGUUUGACUAUGCAGCUUGAACAGUGACACGGUUUGCACACGGUUUGUACAGUAACGCGGUUUGCACAGUAACGCGGUUUGGUUGAAGAUAAUCCCAUGUGUUGCAUGUACCGUAUGCGCAUUUUUUUCGUCCACUGAUAUGCUGCCACGUCACCAUCAACAGUACAUAAGAAUUUUAGCCCAACAGGAUCGAGACACCUCAUCAAUCAAUGCCACGUCAUCGGUCAAUGCCACGUCAUCGAUCCGUCUAUGUGAACAGUGCCGUGAACAGUAACAAAGACAGUACCCGUACAUGUGAAUAGUACCGCACAUGUGAACAGUGUCAUUUUUCCUUUUAUGCUCCUUCUAAGGUUUUCUACCGUCCUGAGUUCAAAAGUGAUGUCCGUUUUGCCGUCUGAUCUCUCGUUUAUUGUGAAAUGACCAUGAUGCUCCUAAAAUACAUAAAAUACUUAAUUAAAAUCAAACACACAGAUUUAAAUCAAAAGAAGGUUAAAUUCAUAAAAAUAAAAGUGUUAGUAAAUCUUGUAGUGUAAAAUGACGAUUUUCUCCUUUAUAAAUAUACAUUUUAUAACACUCAACAUGCUGCCGAGUCACCCAUGCCAAUGCUUGCUGGAUGAUGAAUGUUGAGUUAGCUCUCUGUGGUGUUUUGUCGAGCAGUUGAUUCAUUCCAUCA